rnacentral:rRNA from 1 species
GGGGAAACUCACCAGGUCCAGACAUAACUAGGAUUGACAGAUUGAUAGCUCUUUCUUGAUUUUAUGGGUGGUGGUGCAUGGCCGUUCUUAGUUGGUGGAGUGAUUUGUCUGGUUAAUUCCGAUAACGAACGAGACCUUAACCUGCUAAAUAGCCAGGCUCGCCUCGGCGGGUCGCGGGCUUCUUAGAGGGACUAUUCGGAUGAGAAGCCGAUGGAAGUUUGAGGCAAUAACAGGUCUGUGAUGCCCUUAGAUGUUCUGGGCCGCACGCGCGCUACACUGACGGAGCCAGCGAGUAUAAACCUUAACCGAGAGGUUUGGGUAAUCUUGUUAAACUCUGCCGUGCUGGGGAUAGGGCAUUGCAAUUAUUGCCCUUCAACGAGGAAUAUCUAGUAAGCGCAAGUCAUCAGCUUGCGUUGAUUACGUCCCUGCCCUUUGUACACACCGCCCGUCGCUACUACCGAUUGAAUGGCUCAGUGAGGCCUUCGGACUGGCUCCAGGAG